GGAGGGUCACUCUUUCUAACUCAAUUCCCCGCGUGGUGUAUUUCUACAGAGUCAGUGGUGGAGAGCAUGAGCAGCCGCCAGGAUGAGGAGGCUGCAGAAUCUUGCUUUGGAAACCUAGGAUCUUGCUUCAGGAGUCUGAGGGCAAUUUUGUUCUUUACCACCUUGGCUGGAAUAAUCCCAUGGUGGCCACACAACAGGGUGCACCCUGCCAAUGAGCCAGAUGAAGCAACCCUCGAUGAUGUUGUGGAGGCCGGCGGGAGUGAGAAGACGGAGGAAGAGGCCCUGGCUGGGGCAAAUGAGGAGGAGGUGGGGCCGGGAACUGAGAAGGUGCAGGAGGAGGCUGCCUGCAUUGACGAGGCAGAGGAGGAGGCAGGCCCAUCCCUUGAAAAUGACGAGGAGUCCCCAGCCAGCGACCUGGUUGAGCAGGAAGACCAGCUUGCCCCCAAGGUGGACGGGAUGGACGAUGAAAGCCUAUGUUUCAUGGAGAGUCUGAGUGACAGCAACCAUGAUGAAAGUGAUACAGACUCAGUGGUGGAGAGCCUGAGCAGCCGCCAGGAUGAGGAGGCUGCAGACUCCUCUGGGACACCUUGAAGCCUCAGCCUGGGACUGGAAGAGUCCAAAAGUUUCCAUCUUGACCAGGAUACAAGAUUGACCUCACUCUUCAUCUAUUACGAGCCAACUUUAGUAUAAGCUUAGUUCUUUAUUGUCUAGAUUUAGUAUUAAGUUCUGAUACAUGUUUACUACUUGGUAUAUAAGAUUUUGGUAGAAUGUAAGAUUGUGUAUUAAAUAAUUGUUACCUAUCCAUUUGCUUUUUUUAAAACUAGUUUUCGAUAAAAUAAACACAGGUAUAGGAAAGCCCCCUUAAGCAGAGGUAGAACUUAAUGCACUGGAGUCAGGCAGUCACCCUAGUGUCCACCCCCUGUCCUGUCACCCGCAUCAGUCCUGACUGAAGAAGGGGACUGUGGAUUUAGUCCUGACCAACUGCCCUCAAGCCAGUUUCUUUCCAAGGAUUCUGUGGCCUCAUGUCGGUUUGUACCUUUGACCAUGGGAACUCUGUCACGCUCCCUCUUUCAGGAUGACAUGGUUGGCCGAGCCUUGCAUGCCCAGACCCUGGCUGCUGGAACAUCCAUAUCUCACCUUUUCCCUCCUCAUGUCUCUGACAUGUUUCUUUAUAUCCCAUGCCUGGAGUUGGUAUUUUUAAAACAUGUAGAGUGACACCGAAUGAGACACAGAUAAAAACUGUAAAAGUAAUUUUAAUAAAGUACACUUUGAUUGCAAAG
rnacentral:lncRNA from 9 species